rnacentral:lncRNA from 1 species
UAACGGCAGUCAGGUCCUGAAUUUGUAUCAUUGCCCCAUGGGCAUAAAAGAGGACAAUGAGAACACAACCAGCAUAGAAGAAUACAUAGAGUGUUCAGGUUCCGAGGUUUCUUAUCUGUUUGGGGGCAUUUCAUGGAACCUCCUCUGCCAUCAUUGUCACCAAUCUAUCAUAUCCUCACCACGCAUAAGUUCAUCAUAAAGAAAAAACAGAAAUGGAACCUCCUCAACCAUCAUUGUCACCAAUCUAUCAUAUCCUCACCACGCAUAAGUUCAUCAUAAAGAAAAAACACAAAAUGAAAAGAAAGCCUAUGAAUCAGGUCAUCACACACAAGUUUUGAUAAAACAGGAUGUUCCUAACAAAAGAAACAUCUGAUAUGAGAAAAACAAAGAGGGAAACACAAAAAGUUACAAUCAAAAUGUAGUCAAGAAUCCGAAAGAAUGAAAGGAGAGAAAAUAAAAAGAAAGCUCACCGCCAAGCGACGUGGAAUCAGUGAAGAAAGAAUUAAAUGGAGUGGAGGUCGAUGUUUGUAUAGAGGGAGAUGGUCUUUGGGAGGUGGAGUUGAGAUGGAAUUUUUGCAAGGAAUUGACACCUGCUCCUGCUCUCUCCCCUUGAAAUUCCCUACUUCCAUGACUGAAUACAAGGCUUGCCCUCCCUUUUUCUGUUUCCAUUGUAUGCAAACCCAAUCUUGUGCUCAUCUCCAUCCUCACAAGUCAGAAUAAAAUAGGGAAGAAGAAAUAUGCAUCAGCGACUACAUCAUGCCCCCUUUGGAUGCCGGCUA